CUUUCUGACCAGGUGCUGUCCAGAGAAGCAGCCCACCUCGCAUGGCCAGACGGGAAGCCACCACAGCCAUGGAGCAUUCAGAAUCCCACAGAGGAUUCAAAGGAAGAUGGAAAACCCCAUGCUGUUGGAACAGCCAGCGAGGAAAUGUUCUAAAAUGUGGACACUCCAGGCUCCACACAUAAAUGGAAUUAGCCUGGAGAAUCCCAUCGAGCCAAGAGGCAUGCCGGGUAGGAUGGCGUAUGCAAAACAUGCAGGGCUUGCUGACUGCGGACGUGGCCACCUUGCUGUCCCUCUGAGGUUGACAGCAGCUGCCACUGGGAGAUUUCCUCGUCCCUGAUGCUGUGUGACCUUGGAAUCAGAGGCAUUUUUCUUUCAUUUUUAAAAAAUUUUCAUCAUUAUUGCUCCAUCCACAUUCAAAGCCCCUAGUGAUGCCAUUUGGAACAUUUUUGGCCUUCGUUCUAAUUUAUUUUAAGAACCAGAUUCAGCUUAAGAUUUUUUUUUAAUGUAGCUCGCUUAGAAGAGGGUGAAACAGCUGGUUUCUGCUUUUUAUUUUGUGGAUUUUCAGCAUAUUCAAGGUUCAAGCACAAGAGAAGAUUUGUAAUGCUGUUGCCUUAAUGAUGACGACAGUGAUAAUGACUGGAUCAUACCGAUGACAACAUCUCAUUUUGUGGCGUAUGAUAUGGAUGAUCUCACUUACUCUUCAUAACUCUAAGAGAAAGCUAUUACAAUCUGCACCACGCAUGGUCAAACGUAAGCCAAGACGUUUUCCUAAGCAGAGAAUUGGAAAGCAGAAUAUUGCCAACCGAUAAAGGAUGAUAAUGGUGUGUUUCCCCGAGUGCCACAUCAACUCACAAAUGUUCAAGCAAAUUAGGUUUCCUGGUUAUUCCACCAGGUUCACAUAGCAACAACAGCACAUAACUUAUGCACUGAAGAAUAAAAACUGUGACACGCUUUAAUACCAACAAGAAAAAGUAAGGUUUCUCUCCUUGUUUCUUUAUGUGUAAUAAUCAUAGCUCUACCUGGAAUUUUGUAUAAUGUAUGUGUGGGACCAGGAUUUGAAAAAAAAGAAAAGAUGAGAUCACACUGGUAGG
rnacentral:lncRNA from 1 species